rnacentral:rRNA from 1 species
AACGAACGCUGGCGGCAUGCCUAACACAUGCAAGUCGAACGAGACCUUCGGGUCUAGUGGCGCACGGGUGCGUAACGCGUGGGAACCUGCCCUUAGGUUCGGAAUAACUCCCCGAAAGGGGUGCUAAUACCGGAUAAUGUCUUCGGACCAAAGAUUUAUCGCCUUUGGAUGGGCCCGCGUUGGAUUAGCUAGUUGGUAGGGUAAAAGCCUACCAAGGCGACGAUCCAUAGCUGGUCUGAGAGGAUGAUCAGCCACACUGGGACUGAGACACGGCCCAGACUCCUACGGGAGGCAGCAGUGGGGAAUAGUGGACAAUGGGCGGAAGCCUGAUCCAGCAGUGCCGCGUGAGUGAUGAAGGCCUUAGGGUUGUAAAGCUCUUUUACCCGGGAUGAUAAUGACAGUACCGGGAGAAUAAGCUCCGGCUAACUCCGUG